GACGAACGCUGGCGGCGUGCUUAACACAUGCAAGUCGAACGGAAAGGCCAUGCUUUUGUGGGGUGCUCGAGUGGCGAACGGGUGAGUAACACGUGAGUAACCUGCCCUUGACUUUGGGAUAACUUCAGGAAACUGGGGCUAAUACCGGAUAGGAGCUCCUGCUGCAUGGUGGGGGUUGGAAAGUUUCGGCGGUUGGGGAUGGACUGGCGGCUUCUCCGCUUGUUGGUGGGGUAGGGGCUUACCAAGGCUUUGACGGGUAGCCGGCCUGAGAGGGCGACCGGCCACAUUGGGACUAAGAGACGGCCCAGACGCCAACGGGAGGCAGCAGUGGGGAAUAUUGCACAAUGGGCGGAAGCCUGAUGCAGCAACGCCGCGUGCGGGAUGACGGCCUUCGGGUUGUAAACCGCUUUCGCCUGUGACGAAGCGUGAGUGACGGUAAUGGGUAAAGAAGCACCGGCUAACUACGUG
rnacentral:rRNA from 1 species